rnacentral:misc_RNA from 1 species
AGCACAAAGCCGCAGGCUGCCAUUGCUACAAGUGGAAAAGUCCGGAUGCCAGCGCUGCGUUCUGCCCGCUCUCGAUUCCAGCCAAUCGGGAGUGCAAGCACGUACGCUAUUGCGAGGUUAAUGAGAUGGGAUAACAUCUCCCAUCCGCUUAUGGCGAUCAUCAUACGAGGCAAUAUAGCGCAACCUUUCGGACUGCGCACGAAUCUUUACUGGACCCUCCACCUCUGAUCAGUCCCGGGUCUUGAAGAGCCAAUGAAGAUCGCAAGAAGCGUUUCCAUAUCCGAGGCGUUAAGGGAUAAAAACUCGACCAAUGAAUUCUGCGGCAAAGUUGCUCUCGUUUCUCCUUAGCUAAAAAUUUGGCGGCAACUCGACAUAUCUCCCGUCCUCCCAAAGGUUUCUUGGCCGGCCAAAUCUUGCGGAUCGUGAUACGUGCAACACGUUCUCACGAAGCUGCAGUUGUGAU